rnacentral:pre_miRNA from 1 species
AAUAAGUGCAGUCGUGGGUAUCUAUGUCCAAUGUUUGACCGUCCGUCUUAUUUAAAAAAUAUAAAAAAGUUAGUCACACAUAAAGUAUUAUUCAUGUUUUAUCAUCUAAUAACCAUAAAAAUACUAAUCAUAAAAAAAUUUAAAUAAGAUGAACGGUCAAACGUUGGAUAUAAAUAGUGCAAAACUUACA